rnacentral:lncRNA from 1 species
CUAUACUAAUAACAUAGUACACCAUAUAAAAUAUAUUCUACAAUAUACUAAUGACUACUAUACAAGAUAUUGAAUUAUAAAAUUAAAAAAAAAUUCGAAACCACCAGACCUGCCAGAACCGCCAGAACCGGAACUUCCAAAACCGGAACCGCAUGGUACCUGGAACCGUCAUGGGCGGUUCCACCUUCAGAACCGCCAGAACCGGAACCGCCAAAACCGGAACCGCCAGAACCGAAACCGCAAAUCCAAAUAAACCCAGAACCAGAACCGGAUACAGCCUUACGAUCAUAUCAGUUGAAAAAAAAAUUGA